GGGGAGCAAUCCCUGAGUAAAGUGGCGCACGGGUGAGUAACACGUGAAUUAUCUACCUCCGAGUGGGGAAUAACCUAGAGAAAUCUGGGCUAAUACCGCAUAACACUUACGAGUCAAAGCAGCAAUGCGCUUGGAGAGGAGUUCGCGGCCGAUUAGCUAGUUGGCGGGGUAAUGGCCCACCAAGGCGAUGAUCGGUAUCCGGCCUGAGAGGGCGCACGGACACACUGGAACUGAAACACGGUCCAGACUCCUACGGGAGGCAGCAGUGGGGAAUUUUGCGCAAUGGGGGAAACCCUGACGCAGCAACGCCGCGUGGAGGAUGAAAUAUCUUGGUAUGUAAACUCCUUUCGAUGGGGAAGAUUAUGACGGUACCCAUAGAAGAAGCCCCGGCUAACUUCGUGCCAGCAGCCGCGGUAAUACGAGGGGGGCAAGCGUUGUUCGGAUUUAUUGGGCGUAAAGGGUGCGUAGGCGGUUUGGCAAGUCUCAUGUGAAAUCUUCGGGCUCAACCCGAAGUCUGCAUAAGAAACUGCCGGGCUUGAGUAUGGGAGAGGUGAGUGGAAUUUCCGGUGUAGCGGUGAAAUGCGUAGAUAUCGGAAGGAACACCUGUGGCGAAAGCGGCUCACUGGACCAUAACUGACGCUGAUGCACGAAAGCUAGGGGAGCAAACAGGAUUAGAUAC
rnacentral:rRNA from 1 species